rnacentral:rRNA from 1 species
UACGAAGGGGGCUAGCGUUAAUCGGAAUUACUGGGCGUAAAGGGCGCGUAGGCGGCCUUCUAAGUCGAACGUGAAAUCCCUGGGCUCAACCCAGGAACUGCGUCCGAUACUGGAAGGCUUGAAUCCGGGAGAGGGAUGCGGAAUUCCAGGUGUAGCGGUGAAAUGCGUAGAUAUCUGGAGGAACACCGGUGGCGAAGGCGGCAUCCUGGACCGGUAUUGACGCUGAGGAGCGAAAGCGUGGGGAGCGAACAGG